rnacentral:rRNA from 1 species
CCGGAGCUAAUACCGGAUAAUAUUUUGAACCGCAUGGUUCAAAAGUGAAAGACGGUCUUGCUGUCACUUAUAGAUGGAUCCGCGCUGCAUUAGCUAGUUGGUGAGGUAACGGCUUACCAAGGCAACGAUGCAUAGCCGACCUGAGAGGGUGAUCGGCCACACUGGAACUGAGACACGGUCCAG